AAACAACUCUCAGCAACGGAUAUCUUGGCUCUUGCAACRAUGAAGAACGCAGCGAAAUGCGAUACGUAGUGUGAAUUGCAGAAUUCCGCGAAUCAUCGAGUCUUUGAACGCAAGUUGCGCCCRAGGCUUGUCCRAGGGCAUUUCCGCUAGAGCGUCAC
rnacentral:rRNA from 1 species